rnacentral:rRNA from 1 species
GACAGAGGGUGCAAACGUUGUUCGGAAUUACUGGGCGUAAAGCGCGUGUAGGCGGCUUCGCAAGUCGGAUGUGAAAUCCCACGGCUCAACCGUGGAAGUGCAUUCGAAACUGCAAGGCUAGAGUUCUGGAGAGGAAGGUGGAAUGCUUGGUGUAGAGGUGAAAUUCGUAGAUAUCAAGCGGAACACCGGUGGCGAAGGCGGCCCGCUGGGCAACUGCUGACACUGAUGCGCGACAGCGUGGGGAGCAAACAGG